rnacentral:lncRNA from 1 species
CUAGGUGUUAAAGUAAUUGUUCACAAUGCUGGCUGUACCGUAGGAUCACCUGGGGAACUGCAGAGCACCUGGCUCCCACUGCUGAAGAUUCUGGAUUAAUUUAUCUGGGGCGGAGACUAGGGGUGGGUACGUUUGGAAAGUUUCUCGGGUGAGUCUAGUGUGCGUCAGGGCUCAGCACCACUGCCUAAAAGAUAUGCUGACUUCUAGCUCUGGGCAUGUGAAGAUAAGGCGUUGUCUGUCUCUCUCUGCUGGACGUUCUAUCUAAGCAGCGUGGAUGUUGACAAGGCUCCUGGAAGGACAAGAGAAGAGAUGCGGUCUUGCUGUGUUGUCUGGGCUGUUCUGGAACUUCUGGCCUCAAGCAAUUCUCCUGCCUCAGCCUCCUGAAGUGCUAAAUUACAGGAAGAAGAGCUGCCAGGUCCUGGGAGAACAAGAACAGUGCUUUCUCCAAAUUUUAACAGGAGUACACGGUGGGAGUGAGAGCUAGUUUUCCUGUAGUAGAAGCUGAAGACAGAGUAAAAAUAAUUAACUCAUGGGAAAAAUAAAUAAACAAACAAUUGGACUCAGCCAGAGGAAAAAGAUAGUUAAAACCAAAACAUGUAACGCAACCUAGAACAGUCUGUGUAAUCUAGCCUCUGCUGUCAACUUAAUCUACCAUCACGUGCCCCAUUAUUCACGGGGCUCCACCUUGUAUUCCAGUUGUUCCUCUCUGGAACAUUUUAUGUCUUUUCUCUCUGAGGGACUCAGCUCUUGGUAUUUGCCUUGCUCAGAAAUCUCUUCCAUAGAUCUUCACAAUGGCCGGCUUGUCUUAGGUCUUAGUUCAAAUAUCACCCGCUCAGAGAGACCUUGCCUGACUUCCACUAUAUACAUGGAGGGUUUCCAGAACAAAUGAAGGUAUUGAACAAAUGAGCUCCAUAAAAAUGGAAACAGGGUGCUCUGCUUGGUUUUUCAGAAAAAUGGAAAUAGCGGCCUCACACAUAGAGUUGACAUUCCUGAGAUUAUCCAGUAGAUCUGGACUCUGGAGCUCUGAGUCUAAAUGUACUGCUAUCCAGACAGAGUCUGCAGAGGGACCUCUUGUCAUUAACUACUGUGCACCUACAAUUUGUUAUCAAUGAAAUGUGUGUAGCUUUUAUUUCAUGGCCUUGGGAAGCAUCCUUAAAUCUUUUAUCCUUUAGUUUCUUCAUCUGAGGUUAACAAUAUAUGUAUUUUGAAAGGCUAUAGAAACUGGGAAGAAACAUUUGCAACUUAUAGCACAAAGAGUUAAUAACCAUAAUAUGUAAAGAGCUUCAAAAAAUAUAGAAGAAAAAAGCCAACACAUCUAUGAAAAAUGGGUUGGAAAUAUGAGCAGAGAGUUCACAGAAAAAGAAAGGAAAAUGGAUCCUGCAUAUAUGAAAAGACUCUCAACCAUACUUUCAGUGAAUACACUUUCAAACUUCAUUGAGAUACAAUAUUCUCUCCUGUCAGGCUGACAAAAAUCUAAAAGAUUGACAGCAUAUUUUGUUGGUGAGGCUGUGGUGAAAUAGAUGCUUCCAUACAUUGCUAGUGGGAAUGUAAAAUGGCAUAAGCCUCAUGAAUGGGAAUUUGAUAUAUCUAGUAAAAUUACAUAUGCAUUUUCCCUUUGAUCCAGUAAUCCAACUUCUAGGAAUCUAUCCAAAAAUAUGUUGUAAAACUACACAAAUACUUUUAUAUGUGACUAUACAUUGCAGCAUUGUUUAUAAUAGCAAAAGCUUGGAAAUUGGUUGAAUAAGGCAAUGGAAGGUCCACUCAGUGGAAUACUAUGCAGCUAUAAACAACAAGAAGACGACCUCUGUAUUAGUCUGCUUUCAUGCUGCUGAUAAAGACAGAUUUGAGACUGGGCAAUUUAUAAAAGAGGUAUAUAAUGGACUUACAGUUCCACAUGGCUGGGGAAGCCUCACAAUCAUGGUGGAAGGUGAAAGGCACAUCUCACAUGGCAUCAGACAAGAGAAGAGAGCUUGUUCAGGGAAACUCCCCUUUUUAAAACCAUCAGAUCUUGUGAGACUCAUUCGCUGUCACGAGAAUAGCAUGGGAAACACCCGUCCCCGUAAUUCAAUCACCUCCCACGACAUGUGGAAAUUAUGGAAGUUUCAAUUCCAGAUGAGAUUUGGGUGGGGACACAGCCAAACCAUAUCAACCUCUAUACAUUGCCAUGAAGCGAUGACCCCAAUAACAUGUUCAGUGAGGAGAAUUCUUGGCCCUUGUGUAUUUUUUUUUUCUUUAAGUAAUCUGCAUUGAACAAGUCUUAAAUUUACAGUUAGAAAAAUCAAUAGUAUAUUUUGUUUUAUUUUGAAUUACCCAGAAGCUCAUGAACUUUCUGACCAAAAUCCUUUCCCAGAAAGUUUGUCAGUUGAGAACCUGUGAAGUCCAAUUCAUUUAUAUGUUAAGAUUUGUGCUAUGGGAUGUUGACAGCCUGGUGAAAUUGACCCAGCCUGGCAUGAUCCUGGAGUCUAUUUGAAAGGUGCAGGUUCAGAAAGCAGAGUGCUUCACAGGCUGCCACAUUCCUCUGAAGAUAAUCUGCAGGUUGUACCUGCUGCCACUAGGCUGUUAGGCUGCCUAGGGGAUGGUUGCUGGCUGGAUUAACCAGAUUUGCCAUUGGCAGGUGGGAGAUUUGCACCCCCAGAAUUAGGCUUGCUACUCCAUUAAGCUUUUGACCACCUAAUUUAAACCAUAUUAUUAUUUUCUAAAUAGGCAACACAUUUACAUUUUAAAAUGCAAAGAGUACAAAAAGAUAGGCCAUGAAAUGUCUUUCUGACCUGGUUCCCCAGGCAUGAAGUUUCCCUCCCAAAGGCAACUAAUCUGAUAGGAGAAUGAGGAAAGGAAGAGGAAGAAAGUCAAUAAGGCCAAUAUUGGGAAGGUUACACUUGAGGAGACCUGGGGCUCAAACCUUCUAGGGCACUGGGAGCCAGUGUAAAAUUUAUCCUGUCUUGUGGAUUUUAGAUAAUCUGUGUGUAUAGGGGAGAUAUUUUAUACAGCAGCAGCAGGCUAUCCACAUUGUGCCAUACCUCGCUUUUGUGUGACUUAAUAUCUCUUGGUAAUUGUUCCAUGUCAGUGCCCAAAAAGCUUCCUCAUUCUUUUUUUUGCAACUGUUCAGUUAUCUAUUUAUGGUUACAUCAUAUUAUAUUUAACCCAUUCUUUACUGGUGUCUGCUCCCAUUUGUUGUUCCAUUUUGAGCACCAGAUUUUAAAACUCAUUCCUAUAGGACACACAAAGGAUUUUAUUUCCUAGGAAGAGCUCCAUGGCUCCCUGACUUGCUCAACUGUUUUAAACCCCCACCCCACAUGGAAUAAGCACACUUCACCAUUCUCUCACAACAACAAUUAAGUCAACUUAUCUUUGAAUAAGUAGCUGGGGGUGGCGGGGACACACCCCUGAAGUGUGGGUUUAGGUUUGUUUGAUUGGG